rnacentral:lncRNA from 1 species
GAAUUUGCUGAAAAAUAAGAUUGUUUAUAAAAUGGUUUUUUGUGAAACUUUUGUCGUGAAACAUAGUGAAGUUACAUACAGACAGAGGCCACUGCAAAACAAAAUCUGGAAACUCAAUUCUCAUUUAUUUAUUUUUCGUUUCAUAAUAAUCAUUUUUCUGAAAAAUUCUAAAACAGAAAAAAUAAAUUUCAUCUCUCUCUCUCUUCGUUUACCGUUGAUUAUUAAAAUCUGAGCCGUUGAUCUUUUUACCU